rnacentral:lncRNA from 1 species
UCCAAAUCAAAUGAUCCAAGUCUCUAUUUAUAGAGAAAAAAAAAUUACGAAUUUUGGUAAAAAAAAAAUAAAAAAAAAAAUUAUUUGCAAUGAAAUAAUUGAGUCCAAAUUAUUAAGAAGAUAAAAAUCCAAGCAGCCAAUCACAUAAUGCCAUGUGUCUUGCUUUAUCCAUUUCCUCUCUUCUCUCUCCGCGUGUGCGUCGCCCACUCUCCCUGUCCGCACGUGUAGCGCACGCGCCUGGCAUGGCAAAUCCGCGCGCGACAGCUGUCCUCCGUGGCAGGAUUCAACUUGUUGAACUCUUUCAUCACUUCCCUCCUCCAACUCAGAUUUUUCCUUCUUUCAACACCCUCCAUUGCAAGGCUUCAACAUGUUGAAUCCCAUAUUCAACACCCCAUUGUAGCUAGUCUUAGGAUGUACUACACAAACCAUGAGUAAAUAGUCAAUUUUCCCUUGAAAUUGUAAGUUUUAUCAAUUACCUUCCUGAAAUUAACAAAACUUCAAUUGCCCCCUGAAAUUUCCCAACGUUAAUUAAUUGAAGUUUUGUUAAUUUCAAAAGGGUAAUUGAUGAAACUUACAAUUUCAUGAGAAAAAUUGACUAUUUACUUCACAAACCAUAAAAGCUUAGUCAUUAUCCUAAUAAAAUAAAAUAAAUGAAUAUGGGAACAACACACUAACUUAUUUUUAAAUAAUAUAUCCUUCACGUUAACAUUGCUUCCCUUAGCUCAAAUAAAUCAACACUAAAACAUCAAGAUUAGAUAAGGACACUUACCUGGAUCCAACUAAUACAUGUAGUGAAAAAUAGAACAGCACCACUGACAUCAGACCGAAUUGUUUGUCGUAAAUGACUAAGUCGCAAGACUGGUAACAACAAGAACACUAAAACAUGUCGCCAUUGCAAAAUCUUCUUCAGCCAUAAUUCCUUAGAUUGUUGUAUGCGGAUGACUGAAGGAUCACAUCCUGCAAAACAAUGAAAUAAAACGUAAAAUCUAAGGUGUGAUUACGUGUCACUGGACUAAGGAAUUAUCCGCAGAAUUGCACAACUCCCCCAAAAUACAACAGGUUCAUCCCGGCGGUAAUCGUACCAAAACUAUCAGAAUACGAGAAAUAUACAGGCUCAGACGACUCAAGACACUUUGAAUU